CGCGUAGGCGGGAUGGCAAGUCGGUCGUGAAAUCCCUCGGCUCAACUGAGGAUCGUCGAUCGAUACUGCCGUUCUUGAGGAUUGCAGAGGAGACUGGAAUUCCCGGUGUGGCGGUGAAAUGUGUAGAGAUCGGGAGGAACACCGGUGGCGAGGCGGGUCUCUGGGCAAUUCCUGACGCUGAGGCGCGAAAGCGUGGGAGCAAACG
rnacentral:rRNA from 1 species